AACUGAUACUACCUGCGGGAACCUGCGGAAGGAUCAUUAAAAAACCUUUGCCCGCGGACCCUGGGUCCAAGGCGCAAAACCCACACUAUGUGCACUGUUAUCGUUCUUUUGGCAGGGGCUUGGGGUGUCUUCCAACUUGGGGAACCUCAACUUCUCGUCUAGCUCUAUCCACCUCGGACAGCUGGACAUGAGAAGCAGUUACUCUGCCAAGUGACCCUUAAAAACACGCUUUUUUGUCUG
rnacentral:misc_RNA from 1 species